GACGAACGCUGGCGGCGUGCUUAAUACAUGCAAGUCAACUUGACUUUAGAUAGCAAUAUCGAAAAGUAGGGUGGCGCACGGGUGCGUAACGCGUAGGUAAUCUGCCCUGAGGUCUGACAUAACCCGUCGAAAGGCGGCUAACAUCAGAUGAUAUAUAAUCACGACAUCGUGGAAAUAUCAAAUCUUCGGAGCCUUGGGAUGAGCCUGCGUCUGAUUAGGUAGUUGGCGGAGUAAUAGCCCACCAAGCCUACGAUCAGUAGCUGGUCUGAGAGGAUGAUCAGCCACACUGGAACUGAGACACGGUCCAGACUCCUACGGGAGCAGCAGUAAGGAUAUUGCUCAAUGGGGGAAACCCUGAAGCAGCAACGCCGCGU
rnacentral:rRNA from 1 species